AUAAAGGACUUGUCUAGGGGAGAGCCUAUGGAUCUGAGAACGCUGUCUGGGCUUGGUGCCAAGGGCUGGUAUUUCACAGCAGCGACCGCCUCACAGACGAGCUGUGGGAAGCAGGAGGGAGACUCUCUCUUAGGGUGCCACUACUAUGGAGACACAGCUGGGCUGAACAAGAUUUGCUUCAAACGACAACAAGAGAGACAGAAAGUAUCUGGUUCAACCGCUGCCCGAGCAGGCAGGCACCAGAAGAGCUAGCAGCCAAUCCGGCCAUGCUCGAAGCCAGCUCUGCAGCUCAGCCAAUCAGUGACAUCAUUGCUUUCUUUAGCUUGCCCAUGGUGAUGUGAAGAUGAGAAGAAAUAGCAAGGCCCAACCAGUUCUUCAUCUGGAGACAGUUCAACGUUCUGCAAACCAGAUCUUCAGGAAUUUUACUGGGAUAAUUAUCCAAAUAAAUUGCAAGCAUUCUAUCCAAAUGGAGCUCUUUCUGAGAUGAAGAGAAUUCUCAAUGUCAAGAUUUGAACAAGAAGAGAAUGGAAUACACAAUAUGGACAUCCAUAAAAAUUCAU
rnacentral:lncRNA from 1 species